GACCCACGGGGGAUCCUUCCUGCGAUGUGC
rnacentral:piRNA from 1 species